GAGUGAAUUAUUCUUUCAUAUGAAGUGUAUUCAUUCACUAAACAAAGAGUUGAGGUGAAUUAAAAAAACAUAUAAAAUGAAAGAAAAUUCUUCAGCAUCUCUAUAUUCUCAGCUAGGCUUCAAUGGCAUGAAUUACAGAGCUUGUUUAACCACAACAUGCUGUUUAGUAAAUGGACAACACAGGAUCAAUUUAUUAAUGCCAAAUAGGUUGAUUUAACUAAACGCUGAUCGUAUUAGUGUUGCCAUUUUAAAGUGGC